rfam:Nematostella vectensis strain CH2 x CH6 NEMVEscaffold_310_Cont23293, whole genome shotgun sequence.
CCCGCUGAAUUUAAGCAUAUUAAUAAGCGGAGGAAAAGAAACUAACAAGGAUUCCCCUAGUAAUGGCGAAUGAAGCGGGA